UAUAUUUGCGCCGCUAAAGAGCAUACAUAAAAAUCAUUUAAAAUAAUAUUGGCAUG
ncrna:unclassified sequences S15-Flavobacteria ribosomal protein leader